CCUACAGGCAGAUGUUUGAAACACGGUUACAAAAAGGAACAAAUCAAAUGAAUUUGACAUAAAUAUGCUCGAAUGGUAUACCAGUCGGCGGGAGCUCCGGGGAUUCCGCUUCCGGGCGCAGGUGUCGAGGGGUCGCUGCAAUUUGGAGGAGCGUAGAGUCACGCAGCCGAUGGAGACGGACAGCAUGGCCUCCACCAGCAGAGUUGGAAGACUCCUCCCGUGCUGAUGUCUUUUCCAGGCUGCAGCUCCACAGCGGCGUACUCUCCCUGUUCAUUGAGCUCCUGGAUGGAGACCCACAGCUCGAUCCUACGAGACACCUCGCUCCACCUUCAUGGAACGUGCAUCAAAGUGUUCAAAUCCUUCCGUUUUUCUCCAUGAGCGUGAAUUCAACUUGUACGUACCUGUC